rnacentral:snoRNA from 1 species
UCGACCGUACUUUACAGGAUCAUGUAUAUAGUACGUUUCCCGUCUUUGUUUUCCAAAUAAGACACAUUUACUAAGUUGGUUGAGGAUGGGUAGCACCAGUUCAUAGCGGGAAGUGUUAAUUAUACUUGUUUAUUUAAAAGACGAGUAUUAUUAAUUUGAAGAACGUGCCUAUCAAGUUUUUCCGUUGGUAUGGCAAGAACUCGGUUGCCUUCUGACAACU